rnacentral:rRNA from 1 species
UGGGUAACCUGCCUCAAAGAGGGGAAUAGCCUCCCGAAAAGGGGAGAUUAAUACCGCAUAAUAUGUUUAAGUCGCAUGACUUUAACAUCAAAGGAUUUUUCUUUUAAGAAAAUUCCACUUUGAGAUGGACCCGCGGCGCAUUAGCUAGUUGGUGAGGUAACGGCUCACCAAGGCAACGAUGCGUAGCGGACCUGAGAGGUGAUCGCACAUUGGAACUGAGACACGGUCCAGACCUCCGUAGGGAGG